rnacentral:misc_RNA from 1 species
ACGAUGUUCAACGGAUGUGCUGGCGAGUAACAUCGCAUGUGCACUCCUUAACACCUUUACACACCUGUGAACCUCGAACCGCGCUCUUUUCCUUCGGGAGGCGUGUGUUCAUCCUUUACAAAAUCCUGUUGACUUGAGCUCUGGAACGUAGAUUGUUGUAAUUAAAAA